AUUGAACGCUGGCGGCAUGCCUUACACAUGCAAGUCGAACGGUAACAGGUCUUCGGAUGCUGACGAGUGGCGAACGGGUGAGUAAUACAUCGGAACGUGCCCGAUCGUGGGGGAUAACGCAGCGAAAGCUGUGCUAAUACCGCAUACGAUCUACGGAUGAAAGCGGGGGAUCGCAAGACCUCGCGCGGACGGAGCGGCCGAUGGCAGAUUAGGUAGUUGGUGGGAUAAAAGCUUACCAAGCCGACGAUCUGUAGCUGGUCUGAGAGGACGACCAGCCACACUGGGACUGAGACACGGCCCAGACUCCUACGGGAGGCAGCAGUGGGGAAUUUUGGACAAUGGGCGCAAGCCUGAUCCAGCCAUGCCGCGUGCAGGAUGAAGGCCUUCGGGUUGUAAACUGCUUUGUACGGACGAAAAGCUCUCUCUAAUACAGGGGUGAAUGACGGUACCGUAAGAAUAAGCACCGGCUACUACGUGCCAGC
rnacentral:rRNA from 1 species